UUCAAACGGUUCAGUUUCGGUCGGCCCCUACAUAUGAAGUUACGAUUUACCCUGCAAGCCAUUUUCGAAGCCAGAGAUAGAGAGGCAAACACGCCCUAAAGCAUUUCGAUCUCCAUUGGCGCCAAAACCCCAACACACACUUCAACUCUCUUUCAUCUUCCCGAUUUCUUCCCUAACCCAACCGGCCCACGCUGCUAAUACCCUCGGAAACGGCGACGAUUCGGAUUCGAAGGCAACGGCGUAGAAAUCAAUUCAGGUCAUCAAUCCUCACAUCUUGGGAGUGCACUUAUGGAGUUUGAGCUGAGGAGAUGAUGACUGUAGACCAGUGAAGAAAAUCAGUCAAUCCUUGACAAAAUGCUUGAGCAGUGCAAUGGUAACCAUAAGUCAGAAAGAAUGUCCUAAAACUUUCCCAUGGAUGACCAUCGUAAGUUUAUUUUGUUUAUUUAUUAUUGUUAAAAUAAGACAAGAUGGUGUAAGGCUCGUGGUUUUGAGUGCUGAGGAUGGUCAAUCUAUAAUGGGUUGGAAUGUCAGCUCUAAGUGUCUGAUUUUAAACUACAUUGUUUCAACUGUCUGCUAAUUAUAUGUUAAACUACCUAAAGUUUGUGCUAC